UUCCAUUUUCUGUCUUUUUUAUUUUGGUAUGCUUGUAAAAUUUCCACUGUGCUUGGCUUGUUUUACCAAUUAUUCCAACACAACCACUGUGCUACGCGCUUUUGGCGAAACGAACACGAAGAUCAAUAGAUCAAGUGCAACCAUUUGGAGUGCGCGAGAAGCAAUUGCUAAAUGGUUACAUCUCGCGUUGGACAGCGGCAUUUUUCCAGCUAAGAGGUGGCUUUGGAUGGCGAUUGUGAUUGUGAUUGGGAUUGGGAUUGGGUAUGGGGUUUCGGAAUGCACAACUGCAAGAACAGAGAUCGUAGAAUGCCGCCGUGCUUGGGCUUGAGUAGGAAUGCCGCCAACCAACCGACCAGACGUCGCCAUAGAGCCGGGCUAGAAAAGAGAUCACUGCCCACAGUCCGGACAUCUAAUGGUCACUUGCGGCUGUUUAGCGGCCUUAGGAUAUAAAUUGAAUGCGGAGCUGCGCAGAGCAAGUACACACAGAAAAAAGAAUGCUUCCAAGCAUAGCAGUAACGUUUCCUAAACAACAUACACAAAUCCCAUUAAAUAACUUACAUAUAUUCAUGCAAAAGGAACUAAAAGCGCAUCAAUAAGAAUAAAGCAGCUAAGGGUUCUAGAUUUCUCCCAGUGCAGAUACUGCAUCGUCAGCCAGAUCGCCCAAUAUCAAUCAUUUGGAUUGCAGCUGCCGCAAGGCGCGUGGCACAUCGGCCCCCGUGCCGUUGUAACUCAGGUGUAACUCGAGCUCCACGCGAUGCUUGUGCGUCUUAAGCGGUACGUGAAGAGGUAAUAAACACGCCAACUUAAGCGAAAAACGCAGCUCAGCCAUCGGCAAACAUCAGCGCCCUUCCCAAACAUUCGAAGUGAGACCCUAGAAAGCAGCUGUCAAUAUCUUUGGGGUUUGGCUAAGUGAAAAGGUGUAUUUUAGGUGUUGGCAGAUGCAGAUGCAAAUAUUAUAUGGCUUCCGCGGUUGCCACGCGCUUGAAUUACUGCCUUCGAUUAAGUGAUAAUUAAUUGAUCUGUCAAGAUAACCAUUGCCAACUAAAUUGAAAAGUUAAGAGAAGCGUAUUCUUCUUAAGUAUUCAUAUUUUAUAUAUCUCACAUAAUAC